CGUUCCAUGGCUAAAGUGGUCAUGGCAUUGCCGAUUAAAGGCGAAGAUGCGGGUUCGAGUCCCGCUGGAACGG
rnacentral:tRNA from 1 species